CCCUCGCGCCAGCAGUGCGCAGGCGCAGUGCCGCACGCGACUCAGGGUCCGCGCUGUAACCGUUAACGGGGCCAGAGAGCUUCUGAAGCUUCCUUGUUGUCCAGAACUGCUUCAUGGAUUCACUGUACAGGCAAGCCUUCCCGGCAGCAGUCAGCGUGUAAAAACUUGUCUUCAGUGCUCCUUGUUAGCAGGCAGCUUCAGUAGGAAAAAGUUCAUCUUGGCAUCAGACAUAGGGCAGUUCAACAUGAGGCCCUUGCCCUAAACAGCUCCCAAUGCUAAGAACUGGCAAUUUACUACUUUGUUUGCAAUGAUUGGUCAGAAAGAAUCAUCAAGGUCUCUGAGUUAGCAUCGCCAUCAUGCAGGCCUUCCAGGAGCUUGUCUAGAUUGAUGCCCAUGUGGAGCCAAGAAAACAUGUAGGGCACUGAGAUCACUUGGCCCAGCAGAAGAAGUCCCAGGAAUGUGACAUGGAAUUCUAGAUCCUCUUUCCUUCGUUCGGCCAGGCUUUGGCAAUCCUGGAAAGAUUGAUGUGAAGCCUGCAGCUUCAAGAGCAGCAUGGAGCUCUUGUUUACAAGCUCCUCCUAGCAG